rnacentral:snoRNA from 1 species
AAGCAAGACUUUGAACAAAUGUAUCUGACACAGUUUGAACUUGCUCUAGCAAGAAAGUCUAACCUAAUCUGGUAUUCUCAUCCCCAUGAGACAACCUGUUAUAUAGGCUCAAACAAU